rnacentral:rRNA from 1 species
AUGAGGACAGAGCCAAAGCAUUGGGCUAGGUCAUUUUUCCCACCUAGAGAAAACUGUGAAUCAGUUGAUAACAAUAUGUGUGAGUCAUUCAACAAUGCCAUUAUAGAAGCAAGGUUCUAUCCCUUUAUCUCACAAUAAGAAAUGAUAAGAAAGAAGGUGUUAGUCAGAGUGCAAGAGCAAAGAUCCAAAAGUGCAAAGUGGAAGGGUAAAAUUUGCCCCAAUAUUUUGAGGAAAUUGAAUGUCAGUAUUGAGAUGACACAGUACAUUGAGGUGCUAUGGAAUGGCAAGGAUGGCUUUGAGGUGAGACACAUGAAAGGGAGAAAAAAACAAUACACUUUGAAUCUUGAAAGGAGGAACUAUACUUGUGGUUAUUUUCAGUUGGCGGGCCUACCUUGUUGUCAUGCCAUUGCAGCUAUCUACAAGAGCAGGAGAAAUAUAGAGGACUAUAUUGACAAGUGCUACUACAUAGAAACAUUCAACAAAAUAUAUGAGCAUUGUCUACUUCCUGUUCAAGGAGAAGAAAGUUGGCCUGUUUCUGAUAAGCCUAGGCCUAUGGCACCUGGCUACAUUGCCAUGCCAGGAGCUAGGAAAAAGAACAAUGACAGGAGGAGAGAAGAGGGUGAAGCACCUAAGGGUAAGAAGUUGAGCAAACAUGGUUGUCAGAUAACUUGUGGGACCUGUGGGGGUCAGGGACACAACAAAAGUUCCUGUAAAAAGAAUGGAGAUACAACCAAAAAACAAGAUCACAUCUUGGCAAGAGAGGGAGAAAUUAGAGAGAAACAGAGGUACUAG